UCGGAGUUUCCGGUUGCGGGUCGCGUAGGGGACUAGAGAUGCGUAGUUACUACCCCCGGCAGGAUGUGGGGAGAUUCCCCUCUCCCACCUUUCCCUUACCCUCUCCCAGCCCAGCUUUGUGCCUUGACUUAACCUAAAAGAUGAGAUCGAUUAGGAAAGGAAUUGGAGACAAAACCAAGACACUCGCGUUUUCUGAGGUGUCCACAGGGUGGGUUUCUCUGAGCCCUCUCCUGGGCUUGCCUACGGCUGACUUCUCACUGUGGCCUUUCCUCUGUGCCUGUGCACUCCUGGUGUCUCUUUCCUCUUCUUAUAAGGACACCAUUCCUAUCCUUGAGGACCCCACCCUUAUGACCUUAUUUAACCUUAAUCACCUCCUUAAGUGCUCUGUCUCCCAAUACAGUCACGCUGGGGGUUAGGGCUUCCAGUGCAUGGAUUUUGCGAGGGGCAGACAAUUCAGUCCAGAACAGUUGGGAACUAUCUUGUCACUAUCUGUAUUUUCCCAUAGCACCUAGCACAGCGCCUUGCAAAAUGGUAAAUCUAGGUUUUUGUUAACAAAGCGAUAGAAGACCUGAUGGGAGCUGGGAGAGGAGUUAUAAAGUCAUUUAAAUCUAUUGUCUUAGCUCAUCUUUGUUUAUAAAAUUUCUGAGCUCUAUUCUGGAAGGUCCUAGUUCCUGCUUGGAACUUCAAAAGUCUCCAGGACAAUGGCACAGAGGUGUCACAGUGGAUGCAGGAUCAUUGGAUGAUCACAGCGUGGCUUGGGGGCCUCCGUGGCUAUUCAUCUUGGUGAGCAGAGAUUGCAUUGCCACUUUGAAUGAUUGGACUAGAACAUCUGUCUUGGCAUCCUGUCCCCUUCAGAACCCACGCUGGAUUCUUGUUGGCUCACAUGGCUAGUGGCUGCCAUAUUGAAGAGUGCAGCGCUUUUCUCCUCCUUGGGACAGAUGUGGCUGAAG